rnacentral:rRNA from 1 species
AUUACCCAAUCCUGACGCAGGGAGGUAGUGACAAUAAAUAACAAUGCCGGGCCUUUACAGGUCUGGCAAUUGGAAUGAGAACAAUUUAAAUCCCUUAUCGAGUAUCAAUUGGAGGGCAAGUCUGGUGCCAGCAGCCGCGGUAAUUCCAGCUCCAAUAGCGUAUAUUAAAGUUGUUGCAGUUAAAAAGCUCGUAGUUGGAUUUCUGGCAGGAGGAGCCGGUCACACACUCUGUGCGUGAACUCGUGCUGUCUCUGGCCAUCCUCGGGGAGAUCCUGUUUGGCAUUAAGUUGUCGGGCAGGGGAUACCCGUCGUUUACUGUGAAAAAAUUAGAGUGUUUAAAGCAGGCUUAUGCCGUUGAAUAUAUUAGCAUGGAAUAAUAAGAUAGGACUUCGGAACUAUUUUGUUGGUUUGCGUUACGAAGUAAUGAUUAAUAGGGACAGUUGGGGGUAUUCGUAUUUCAUUGUCAGAGGUGAAAUUCUUGGAUUUCUGAAAGACGAACUACUGCGAAAGCAUUUACCAAGGAUGUUUUCAUUAAUCAAGAACGAAAGUUAGGGGAUCGAAGAUGAUUAGAUACCAUCGUAGUCUUAACCAUAAACUAUGCCGACUCGGGAUUGGCAGUUGUUUUUUGACUCUGUCAGCA